rnacentral:rRNA from 1 species
UAAGUACAGAGACUGCAAGCGUUAUUCGGAUUCACUGGGCGUAAAGGGUGCGCAGGCGGCAGUGUGUGUGAGGCGUGAAAGCCCCGGGGCUUAACUCCGGAAUUGCGCCUCAAACUACACUGCUAGAGCAUUGGAGAGGGGUAGCAGAAUUCACGGUGUAGCAGUGAAAUGCGUAGAUAUCGUGAGGAAUACCAGAGGCGAAGGCGGCUACCUGGACAAUUGCUGACGCUCAGGCACGAAAGCGUGGGGAGCAAAAGGGAUUAGAUACCCCCUGUAGUCCACGCCCUAAACGGUGCACACUAGGUCUUGGCGGAUUCGACCCCACCAGGGCCCAAGCUAACGCGUUAAGUGUGCCGCCUGAGGACUACGGCCGCAAGGCUAAAACUCAAAGGAAUUGACGGGGGCCCGCACAAGCGGUGGAGUAUGUGGCUCAAUUCGAUGCAACGCGAAGAACCUUACCUGGCCUUGACAUGCAUUAGACCGGCGCUGAAAGGC